GAAGGGACAGCAGACGGAACUUGCCUCCCGUGCACUGCCAGAAGCCUGGCUGUGUGCCAUGGGAGGCACCAGCCGGCCAGCGCGGCUGCGUGGAAGCACUCAGCCCCUCUGAAGGGGAUCUCCGUGUGAAGUGGAUUUCUGAAGUGGCUCCAGACCGUGGUGAAAGGAUGGCUGGGCCCCAUCUGCCCCCCUUCACUGCCGCCCUGGGACUGGCAUUGCUUGGUGUCCUGGUCUUCCUCUCAGCCCUGUGUGCUGCCUGCAGAAGGAAAGCUAGGAAGAAGGUGGUCCCACCGGAUGGGGUGAAGCUGGUAGAUGUGUCGUUGCUGAGGCAGAUGCAGCUCCGAUCGCUCAGUAAAUCUGACACCAAACUGCAUGAGCUCAACAGGGUGAAGCGCACGGACGAGCACCAAAGACCAGCCAGCGUGGAUUUCCUUUACCCAUCAGGGUCUUUGGGGGAUGGAGAAGGAGCCGUGCAUAGCUCGAGCUUCAGCAUCCUGCUGCACCGAGAGCUGCCCCAGAUCCCCAAUUCCAACCCUUCGGCUGACGCCCUGAGUCCUGACCAGACCUACUCAAACGUGUCCUUCUUAGCCCCGCUGAAACCAGCCCCGGAGGCGCUGUACGAGUGUGCGGCCGUGACUCAGGAAGGGCCUCAACCGAUGCCCAUCUUGGGAACCCCAAUGGAGGCUUCCCCUCUAAGCGAGGAGGACAAGGCAGUGACGGCUGAGUAUGCCUGUGUCCGCAAGGUGAAGAAGAAUUUCCAGCCAGAGCUCCAGGAUGAGACACAGGGCGAAUCCUCCGUGGGGCCUGCAGACCCAGAAGGCUGGGAAGGAGCUGCCUGUAACCCCGCAGCGGUGAAGGUAGAAGAAAUGUACUCGACUGUGUGCAAAGCUGGAAAGAAGAAGAAACACCAAGGCUCUGCUCUGUCCCCCUCUGAAGGAAUGGACACUGGGGAGACGGGCCAAGGAGAACAGGGGUGGCCAGCCGCCCAUCUCAGACAUGUCAGGGUGGGGUAUCAGUCCACACCGGGCCGAGUCUUACUCACUGAGCCCUGCUAUGAGUCUAUCAAGGAUGGAUCCUGGACUGAGCAUGGCAGGAACCCAGCCCCAGAACCGGCCUACGAGGCAGUAGAUGUCAAAUGGAAAAAGCCCAAGAGAAGGGACAAGUCUACCAAGAACUGCCCCACCGAGAACUUGUAUGAAAGUAUCAGCGAAAUGUGGGAAGGGGACCCUAGGAACACAGCUACCCUGGCAGCUCCCAAUGGGUUGGAGAUAUACGUAACAGACUUAUAACGCCUUAUGUAUAGCUGCCCCCUUCCUGGGAAGGUCUGUGCUCCUCC
rnacentral:lncRNA from 1 species